GCCGAGGUGGAUGGAACAGGCAGACACGCCAGUCUCAGAAGCUGGUGCGCCCUUGAGCGCGUGGGGGUUCGAGUCCCUCUCUCGGCACCA
rnacentral:tRNA from 1 species